rnacentral:rRNA from 1 species
CAGCAGCAGCCGCGGGAAUACAGAGGGUGCGAGCGUUAAUCGGAUUUACUGGGCGUAAAGCGUGCGCAGGCGGUUAUAUAGGACAGAUGUGAAAUCCCCGGGCUCAACCUGGGAACUGCAUUUGUGACUGUAUAGCUAGAGUACGGCAGAGGGGGAUGGAAUUCCGCGUGUAGCAGUGAAAUGCGUAGAUAUGCGGAGGAACACCGAUGGCGAAGGCAAUCCCCUGGGCCUGUACUGACGCUCAUGCACGAAAGCGUGGGGAGCAAACAGGAUUAGAGACCCGAGUAGUCCCUGUCUCUUAUAC